UAUAUAUAUUACCCCAAAAUGGUGCUAACCAUCACCAACUCAUAAUGGCGUUACCACUCAAAGUAUAUAUAUAUAUUGUCUAAGACAAGUAUCUUAAAAAUUUACAUUUCGUUUACGUAUAUAUAGCACUCGACUUCCAGUAGAGCGACCUUGACGAAGGUACAGCUAUUGAAUGCCAAGAUACCUACCAAAGAGACGAGCCCACAUGGACACCUUGACCUAGGUUCCAACUGCCUCCUGAUCUGAAAACAUGAAGUUAAAAACUGUGAGUAUGAACUCAGUGAAUGAACAUACGAAGAAAACAAGCAAUUAAUAAGAAAAAUUUAAAAAUCAUGAUGCACUUGUUUUGAAAACAAUGCAAUUUAGUUUAAUUUCUUCUCUAACCCCUUGUUUCGAACAUUGGUAAAUAAACUCUUAGUGUUGCAAAGACCCAUGCUCAAUCAUGAAGAUAAAAGAGUGAAGAAAAAUUAUAUCAAAAACCGACCAAGGUAGCAACGUGAUAGCACGUUUCUCGCUAUAGCGAAAGGCAUUAUUGGUUUGCGUAUGUUUUUGUUUUUCAAGCAUAUCUCCCACUACAGAUGUCCAAUUGACAUGAUUGUUAGAUCAUUAGAAAGCUAAGAGGUAGCGAUAUGACUUUAAUGUUUACCACUUUGCCUAGUUCUGACAAGAAAGUGGUCAAAAUUGCUGUCAAAGUGACAGCACAGCACCACCACCUGAGAGUUUCUAGCUACAGCAAGAAUCCAUUCUCGCUGUAGCCAAAUUCCUUGCUGCAACCAAAUUCCUUACUGCAAUCAACAUCAAUUUGAAAAUACUUAACAACUUUCACUGUUCAACAUGCAAGAUGCCACAUACAUUGCAAUCAUGUACUAUAUUCAUAAACUUUUUACUACGCAUGUAUAUAUAUAUAUAUAUAAACAUGAAUACCACCACCUCCUUCAGCCAACAUGCACUCCCCACACGCACAUCAUUACCGGCAUGUGCACUACCUACUCCGUACAUGCACAGUUGUAAGUGUCACAACAUCAUCAUUCGAUCGGCAUAUGCACUGCCCACUCCGCAUAUGCACGGUUGUAGUUGUCACAACAUCGUCAUUCAACCGGCAUAUGCACUGCCCACUCCGCACAUGCACGGUUACAUCGAUUACACAAAAUUACUUAGCAAUACAUAUCAUAUAUUUUUAUAUACAUAUCAGCAUCAUAUAAAGGUAUAGAGAUUCAUCACAAUCAUGUUCCACAUCACCAAAAACAUUUCACUAAAGGCUUGUUCCCAUGCAUUUUAUAGAAAAACAAUUAAAAUGUCUUAAUCAACCACAUGUAUCUUAAUUCCAAAACAUUUUGUGCAAGUUCACUCACUAGUAUUUGUUGAAUCUUUACUCGAUUCCAACCUCCACUAAUGGUCCAAAUGGAAUUGUGGGGCCUCGUUAGGACCUAUCAUCACAACAACAUCACACCCAACCCGAUUUGCAUAAUUAUAUUUCUAAAAGCUAUCCACUAAAUCAUGUUCUGCUAGUUGCUUUUAACUAGCUUCCAUCUACCAUUAAGUGACUAUAUAUUUUCACUACUCUAGUCACACUACAAUGAAUAACCCACCUAAACUACAAAACACUCACUGAUCUAGCCACUAGCCAAUCUCAACAACUUAAAAAAAAUCAACUCAACUUCACUACUCACCUUGGUAGCUUUAUAAUUAAAUUUCUUUUCCAAAAGCUUUCAAACUAUCAUGAAAAUCUCACUUUCUCUCCCUAAAACGUCCAACUAGUGAGAGAGUGUAAUAAGGAAAGGUUUUUGAGGGUUUUUUAUGGUGAAAAAGUAGAAGAGCACAAAGAACUUUAAGAAAUGGUACACAAAAACAUGAAAAAUCAGGGUUAACUCAAGGAAAUAUUUGCAAAUUCGAGGCAAGCUUCCAUGGGGGGGUGAGAGAACAUGGGAGAGGAAGGAGAAGAAAAAGAAGUGCUAGAAAUUUGAAGAACAUCCUAGAAACUUAGAUUUUGAUGGCUUAAGUUUAUCCAUUUCUAGCAAAAUUACCAAAAUGCCCUUAACUAUGUCAUUUUGUUUUUUCCAUUACUUUUAUGCAAUCUUUUUACUUAUUUAACACUAAGACAAGGUCCAUAAAGGUGUAGAAAUACUCGGGUUCAUGAAAACUUGAAAAUUUCAUCUCGAGAUGUAAAAUGAUCGUUUUACCCCUACCAUAAAAAUUAUUGGUAUUUCUAUCUUCUUCAUUAUCUUAUCCUCAUCCAUUCAUUCCUUAGGCCUACUUGGACCUUAAUAACAUUAGAAAACAAAUUUCAAGGGCUGACCAGAAGAAAUGACGAAAUUACCUUUAGUUUGUGUUAUCGUGUCUACUGCUAGUUACGGGUCAAUAAGGGUCAAGGUCUCAGAUUCUCCCCCACUAAAAGAAAUUCAGUCCUCAAAUUUAGAUCUGGUAUAAGAUAGCGUACCUCUAAGUAUUAAAGAGGUGCGGAUACUUUGUCUGUAUCUCUUCCUCGGUUUCCCACGUUACCUCCUUGCUGGUGUGGUUUCAUCAUAACACCUUUACUGAGGCCACAUCUUUUGAACGGAGCUUUUUGACUUUCCAAUUCAAGAUGGCUACCGGUUGCUCGUCAUAGGUCAAAUCAUCUUUCAGCUGGAUAUUUUCAUACUGUAUUACAUGCGAUGGAUCCGGAUUAUACUUCCUAAACAUUGACACAUGAAAUACGAGGUGAAUAUUCGAGAGGUCUGGCGGUAAUGCCAAACGAUAUGCUACUGCUCUAACCCUUUCUAAGAUCUCGAAGAGUCUUAUAUACCGAGGACUUAAUUUUCCAUUCUUGCCAAAUCUCAUUGCCCUUUUUGUUGGUGAGACCUUAAAAAAUACGUGAUCUCCCACUUGAAACUCCAAGUCCCUCCGUCUGUUAUCAGCAUAGGACUUUUGUCUACUUUGUGCUCUUAACAUCCUCUGAUGGAUCAUGCGUAUUUUCUCGGUGGUGUCCUGCACCAACUCAGGCCCCAAGAGUUUCCUCUCUCCUACCUCUAACCAUCCAAUGGGUGACCUGCACCUCCGUUCAUAUAAUGCUUCAAAUGGUGCAAUUCGGAUGCUAGCUUGAAAACUAUUAUUAUAGGCAAACUCCACUAAGGGUAGAUAUCGAUCCCACCUGACCCCAAGGUCUAGUACACAGGCCCUCAACAUAUCUUCCAAUGUUUGUAUCGUCCAUUCAGAUUAGCCAUCAGUUUGUGGGUGGAAAGCAUGCUAAAAUCCAACUUAGCGCCCAAAGUUUCCUGCAACUUUCCCUAGAACCUACUAGUGAACUACGCUCCUCUAUCAGAUACUAUAGAAAUAGGGAUACCAUGCAGUCGUACUAUCUCAUCCACAUAAACUCGAGCAUAUUGGGCAACACUGUAAGUAGUCUUGACCAGAAAAAAUGAGCUGAUUUCGUUAACCGAUCUACUACAUACCAAAUUAAGUCGUAGCCCCCAUUAGUUCGAGGCAAACCCAUUACAAAGUCCAUGGAAUUAUGCUCCCACUUUUGCUCGGGCACUAGUAACUGUUGUAGUAGCCUUGCAGGCUUUUGAUGCUCGACCUUAACCUACUGACAAACCACGUACUUGGAGACGAACUUAGCUACAUCUUUCUUGAGUCUUUCCCACCAAUAUACCUCAUUCAAAUCUUGACACAUCUUUAUAGCCCCUGGAUGUACCACAUAGGCUGCCAUGUGUGCCUCCUCUAAUAUUUCUUUCCUUAAUCCACACUAGCGAACGCAUAAAGUCUAGUUCCAUACCUCAAUACUCCAUUUGUGCCUUUAGUAAACAUUUUUCCUUUCCUUCUUUGAGGAUCCUCUAAGGCCUUAGUUAUGAACUCAUCUUUACUUUAUGCUUUUUUAAUCGGGUCCAUUAAGAUAGGCCUCACUUUAAAAUGGGCUAGCAAUGCAUUUGUCUCUGAAACUUCCAAAUGCACACCCAUGUCUCCCAAUCUAUGCAUCUCCCUAAUCAAGGAUCUUCUAUCUGCAUAGAUAUGUGCCAGGUUUUCCAUCAAUUUUUGACUCAAGGCAUUUGCCACUACAUUUACCUUACCUGGAUGGUAGAGAAUAGUACAAUCAUAAUCCUUUAGCAACUCCAUCCACAUACAUUGCCGCAAAUUAAGAUCCCUCUACUAAAAUAUAUACUUCAGGCUUUUGUGGUCAGUAUAUAUCUCACAAGUCUCACCAUACAAAUAAUGUCUCCAAAUCUUUAAGGCAAACACGAUUGUUGCCAUGUCCAAAUUGUGUGUGGGGUAAUUCUGCUCAUGCCUUUUAAGUUGCCUUGAUGCAUACGCAAUCACCUUCCCAUGCUGCAUUAAUACACACCCUAAACCAACCCGCGAUGCAUCACAAAAUACCGUGUAACCCCUUGUGCCUUGUGAUAGGCUUAAUACUGGAGCUGUGGUGAGACAUGCCUUAAGCUUCUCAAAGUUAUUCUCACAAGCAUCUGACCACUCAAAAUUCGUGUCCUUGCGUGUCAGCUUAGUCAGAGGGGCGACUAUUUUGGAGAAGUCCUUUACAUAAAGACGAUAAUAGCCAGCCAAACCCAAAAAGCUUCUGAUCUCCGUAACUGAUGUUUGCCUUGGCCACUUUUCCACUGCCUUGACUUUCUUUGGAUCGACUUGUAUCCCAUCUUUGGAUACCACAUGUCCCAAGAAUUCAACGCUUUCAAACCAGAACUCACACUUAGAGAACUUGGCAUACAAUCGAUGUUCUCUCAAAGUUUAGAGCACUAUCCUAAGAUACUACUCGUGCUCCUCUCGGCUUUUAGAGUAGAUCAGAUGUCCUCAAUAAAUACCACCAUGAACUUGUCCAAAUAGGGCUUGAACACUUGGUUCAUCAAAUCCAUAAAGGCCAUAGGGGCGUUCGUAAGCUCAAACGUCAUCACCAAGAACUCAUAGUGCCCAUAUCUUGUUCGAAAUGCAGUCUUGGGUAUAUCUUCAUUCUGGAUCAUCAAUUGAUGGUACCCAGAUCCCAGAUUUAUCUUAAAGAAACAUUUUGCGCGUUGUAGUUGAUCAAAUAAAUCAUCUAUUCUUGGAAAGGGGUACUUAUUCUUCACCAUCACUUUAUUAAGCUGUCGGUAGUCAAUGCACAGUCUAAGCGACCCAUCUUUCUCUUUACAAAUAGCACCAGUGCUCCCCAUGGUGAGAUGCUAGGUCGGAUGAAACCUUUAUCCAAUAAAUCUUCUAACUGACACUUAAGCUCUUUAAGCUCCGUAGGUGCCAUUCUAUAUGGGGGUAUGGAUAUAGGUCUAGUGUCAAGAGUCAAAUCUAUGCAAAAUUCAAUCUCUCGCUCUAGAGGUAAACCUGGUAGUUCCUCAGGAAAUACAUCCUUCAACUUAUUCACCACCGACACUUGGCUUAUAUCUCCAACCUUCGCUUGAGUAACCCUUACCACACCCAAGUAACCUAAACAACCCUAUCUUAAUAGCUUUCUAGUAGACAUGGUCGAUAUCAAAUUAGUUGGAACAUUACUCCUAUCCCCCUGAAUACUAAAUGGUGGCUCAUCCGGGAAAUGAAAUCUAACCAAUAUAUGGUAACAGUCCACACUUGUAUGACAGGGUGAUAACUAAUCCAUCCCAAAGAUCACGUCAAAAUCUAAGGUGUCUAACACCACCAAAUUCACCAAAGUGUCCUUGUCCUUGACUAGAACUAUGCAGGACUCAUAUUCCCAUUCGACAACAAAUACCUCCAUUAAAGUAGUAGACACCAUUAACUGUUCUUCUCUUUUAACACAAUCAUUACCCAAACGAGAUGCAAAGCAUAGAGAAAUAAAAGAAUGGGUAGCACCAGCAUCAAACAAUACCCGAGCAUUCAUAUUACAGAUUGAAAGAAUACCUAAUGCCACUGCAUUGGACGUUUGAGCCUCUUGUCGUGUUAAAGCAAACACCCUUAGUUGACCCCUACCAGCAGAACUCUAACGUCCAGACCUAGAAGGCUUGCCCUGAGAGGAAGUAGCAACACCUCUACCUCUUGAUCCGCUUGCCUCCCAAUCAGAUGAGGUGGCUACUGAAGGAGCGGACGAAGUUGGCUGGCUAGAGUCGUGAGCAAAACCUUGCGAUUGAUGAGCCAUGGGGCAAUUCCACCUAAUAUGUCCAGAUUGACCACACCCAUAACAAACUCUCAAAGUACGAAAGCAUCGCCCGCUAUGUCGUCCCCCACAAUUAGUGCAAUGUUUGAUAACUUGACUUCCCUAUCUUGAAUCUUGCUACCUUCCAGCAUUAAAAGUCCUUUGUCCCACCCCAAUACUAACACCAGGUGAGUCACUUCCCUUUUGGGGCAAUCGUGAGUCCCGUUGUGGACCCUGACGGUUAGAAGAUGAAACACCACUGUUGAAAUCUCUACGGCCUUGAUAACCCUCUAUCGUGGCCAUUUUUACUCUAUCCCUCACAGCCCUACUCUCAUUGAUCCUCAUCUUAAUGCGCCGAGCACAAUCCACUAUUAUGGAGUAGGUUUUAAAAUCUCGAGAUGCCACAGCCCUAAACAAUGGCUCUAUUAGCCCAUAUACAAACCUCUGAAUCUUCAUCUCCUCAAUGGAAAGUAGAUAGGGUGCAUACCGAGCCAUCUGCGUAAAUUUGAUGUCGUAUUCUGACACUGUCAUACUUGGGGCCUGUACCAGAGUUUCAAACUCCCUAGCUCUGGCAUUACGUACACUUAAUGGUAAAAAUCGAUCCAAGAAAGCUGUACUGAACUCAAUCCAAGUCAACGGUGCUGCGUCUGCUGGUCUACCUUUACCUAAAGAGUUAUACCACUCUUACGCCAUGUCCUCCAAUCAGAAGGCGACUAGCUCGACUAAUUGGACACUAGAACAUCUUAAGGCUUUACAAAUUUUCUCCAUCUUAUCUAAGAAAAUUUGGGGUUUCUCCGACGCAUCAGAUCCUAAAAAUUAUAGAGGCUUAAGCUUGAGAAAAUCGGGAAGAGAAAUCUCUAAAUGACCCCUUUCAACCUCAUGAUGUUAGAAAUUGGCCUAUCCUUGAGAGCUAGGGGAUUCUUGUACUGUAGGUCUCCCCUCCACUAUCCUUUGUAUAUCAUCCAUACGGGUCACCAUCAUCUCUACAACCCGGUCGACUCAUUGUAGGCCUGCCACCAAAUCCUCAAUGGUAAUACCCCUGGUUGGUUGUCUAUCUGCAUCACUUGAAAACUAUCCUUCCUCUUGCCUACUCAUAAGCGUAUCCACCCUCACUAGCCUAGUGGCCCUGCCACGUCUACCUCAGCCCCUAAAGUUGGAUGCCCAUGGCCUAUCUAUCAUCUCAUUAGGGGCAUCUUGCUCCCCCAUCCAUCUUGAGGUAGCUCGUGUCUUAAGCGACAUUCUUACCUAGACUAGAGCAAAUACCUAUUAUUAAACACAUUUUCUAUAAUCAUAUAUAAAGGAAAAGGUGGUUUCAAAGAUAGGGAAUCUAUGAGGUACCUUGGUUGUAAAAUGUGUCGCGGUUCACACUUCACAACUGAAGUUCCCACAUAAAGACCCGACACUCCGCUGUACGAACACAAAAAAGUCCUAAGACCUAGACAACCUAGGGCUCUGAUACCAACAUUGUCAUGACCCAAAUAUCUGGUCGUGACCGGCGUAUGGACCCAAUGAGCAUAGCCACUAAGUCCAAGGAAGCCUAUUUAUAUAACCUAUUCAUCAAUCUAUUGAGCAUUCCCAAAGUCACAUUUCGUGAUCUCAACUGUAAGUACUUGAAUGAUAUUCUACCAUGAUCAAAUAUUCGCAUGUAUAUAUAUAUAUAUAUUACCCCAAAAUGGUGCUAACCAUCGCUAACUCAUAUUGGUGUUACCAUUCCAAGUAUAUAUAUAUAUAUAUAUAUUGUCUCAGACAAGUAUCUUAAAAAUUUACAUUUCGUUUAUCUAUAUAUAGCAUAAAGACACUCGACUUCCAGCGGAGCGACCUUGGCGAAGGUACAGCUAUUGAAUGCUGAGAUACCUACCAAAGAGAC
rnacentral:lncRNA from 1 species